UUAUUUUCGGGAAAAAUAACUAGUUUGAAAACCACAUCAUCUUUGCAUAUUCAAUUAAAGGUACUGUUUUCGGGCAAACGUUGUAGGGGUGCUAAUACCUUUCCUACGCGUAACCAACUCCCAGACUCAAACUCUAAUUUUCGUAGACCAGAAUAAACUAUGGUCACAACUCCAAACUCUGAUUUUCAAACUUUCUUUAACUAUUUUUUAAAGCUUCACUGCCAUUCGUAGCGAUCCCGAUUGCGACACUUGACAUUAAUAUUAUAAAUCUCCAAAAACACUCUACCCAUAAAAUAAAAACAUAAUUUGUGUAUUUUGAAUAAAGAAAUCCCUAAAAAAUAUUAAUUGUAACAUAUAUAUAUAUAUAUAUAUAUAUAUAUAUAUUACCUUAAAAAUAUUAAUUGUAAAUUAGAUUAUAUUUAAGUAAAUUUAUAAAGUCAUAAUUUAACCUUUUAGAUAUUACUUUUAGGGUUAAAUAUGUUUUUAGUUCCUCAACUAUUGGGCGAUUUUGGUUUUAGUCCCUCUUUCAAAAUAAGGUACAAUUUAGUCCUCAAUGUUUUAGAAACUUUGGUUUUAGUCCUCCAAAACUAACGCCGUUAAAAAUCUGUUGAUGUGUCUAACGUUUGUCCGCGUGUGUUAACUAUUUUGUUGUCUCUCUCUUGACUCGUGUGAUUGCUUGGUUAUACCCUUCGUUGAUUCCCCUAUUUCCCUACAGCCACCACCAACGUCGAUUUUGGCCUUCCUUACAUCUUCUCACUGUCAUUGCAUAACCGCAAAAGCACCAUUUUUUCCCAUGAUACAAAAUUUCCAUUACCAUUUUUCAGAAAACUAGAAGACCCAUUAGAUACAACCCCACCACCCUCAUAAGGCCCUAACCUAUACCAUGAAAAACCCC
rnacentral:lncRNA from 1 species